GCGAGAGAGAAGGGAAGGGGAGAGAGAGGGAGAGGGUGUCUCGGAAAUGGUGUCGUACGUGAACGCGCUGCUGUACGGGGUGGGGGGCAUCGUGGUGGCGGGCAUGGCGCUGCUGGUGGCCUUCCAGGAGCGCCUCGUGUACGUGCCGGUGGUGCCGGGCCUCACCAAGUCCUACCCCUUCACCCCCGCCCGCUUCCGCCUCCUCUACGAGGACGUCUGGCUCAGAUCCCCCGACGGCGUCAACCUCCACGCCUGGUUCAUCAAGCUCUUCCCCGACUCCCGCGGUCCGACUGUUCUGUUUUUCCAAGAGAAUGCUGGAAAUAUUGCUCAUCGUCUUGAAAUGGUUCGCAUAAUGUUGCAGAAGUUGCAGUGCAAUGUGUUUAUGCUUUCGUAUCGAGGAUAUGGGGCGAGUGAUGGCUAUCCUUCUCAGCAUGGCAUCACACUAGAUGCUCAGGCUGCAUUGGAUCAUCUUCGUGCAAGGACUGACAUUGAUACCUCCAGGAUAGUUGUAUUUGGAAGGUCACUUGGAGGAGCAGUUGGAGCAGUUCUUACAAAAAACAACCCCGAUAAGGUUGCUGCUAUAAUAUUGGAGAACACUUUCACAUCCAUUCUAGACAUGGCUGGAGUUCUACUGCCCUUUUUAAAGUGGUUCAUUGGAAAAAGUACUUCUAGAGGCCUUCAAAUUCUUAACAUUCUCGUGCGAUCUCCAUGGAAUACAAUUGACGUCGUUGGUCAGAUUAAACAGCCAAUCCUUUUCCUCUCUGGAUUGCAAGAUGAGAUGGUCCCCCCAUUACAUAUGCAAUUGCUGUAUGCCAAGGCAGCCGCUCAUAACAGGCAAUGCGUUUUCGUGGAAUUUCCAACUGGAAUGCAUAUGGAUACUUGGUUGUCAGGUGGAGAUCGCUACUGGAGAACUUUGCAACUGUUCCUUGAACAGCAUGUUCCAGAGAAGAAAGAAGAAAAACAGUCAUCUCAAAAUGAAAAUUUUUCAGGUAAGGGAAGCCUGAAGUCACUAAUGUGACACCUUGUUGCUUUUUGUUGAUGAACCGUGGAUGCAGAAUACCUUUCUUCUUUAUCAGAUUUUGAUGCUACUUAAGCUGCUGAGUACUUGACGUCCUAAAUCCCAACGUUUUUCAAUCUCCAAUGCUGCAGCAAUAGUGGUAUGCAUAGUCGGGGGGGCCCCAUUGCUGCUUGGACAGGACUGAUGUUAUUGAGGAGGAUGGGUUUUAGCUAAACCUUUCUAUUCCCCUUGUGGGUGGAGACCAAUAGGAAUUGCUAAGUGUUAUGAAGUACCUGAACUGAAAUCAUAGGAUUACUGAUGCAAAUAUUGAUCAUUCCUGCAGUAUGAAAGGCUUUUUCCCAACCGUGUAACUUAGCAGUGAUUUGUCUAACACAUUUGACUGUUUAACUAGAAGUGCUGCCAUUGAUUUUGCCAGAA